CCCUUAGACGUUCUGGGCCGCACGCGCGCUACACUGACGAAGGCAACGAGCUUUCCUUUACCGAAAGGUACGGGUAAUCUUUUGAAACUUCGUCGUGCUGGGGAUAGAUCCUUGCAAUUUUUGAUCUUAAACGAGGAAUGCCUAGUAAGCGCAAGUCAUCAACUUGCGUUGAUUACGUCCCUGCCCUUUGUACACACCGCCCGUCGCUACUACCGAUUGAAUGGUUUAGUGAGGCCUUCGGAUCCGCGACUCGUUUGUGGAGAAGUUGGACAAACUCAGUCAUUUAGAGGAAGUAAAAGUCGCAACA
rnacentral:rRNA from 1 species